rnacentral:lncRNA from 1 species
AUUUAAUGUAAAAUAUAUAACGUAAUCUUCAAUUUGCAUGCUCAGAUUAAAAAAAUAUUGUUCAUUGGCUUCACGAUUCGACUUUCUUUUUCGCCUUGCAAAAGUAGUUGAACCGGUUUUGUGCAUUGUUAUAAAUUGAACCUGCAUUAAUUUCACGACAUGACACAGUGAAAUAUCUAAUGAAGUGACCACUGUCCAGUAAGAAAAUCAUUUGAGCUCUUUUAAACCUGUAUAAUGUCAUUGCAAAAUCAUUUCUGCCUAGAAAAACACGAAACUUUCAUUGAAACACUUCUUUCUUUUUUUUUAUCAGGACCUGAACUAAUAGUAAGAACAUCAUAAUAUUCAGUAUGCUAAAAAGAAGUGUUAUGAAAGCGGCAGGGGCGGGUCCAGCCAUUUUAAAAAGGGGGUCCUAACCCUGGACAAAAGGGGAGGGGUUCCAACUACAUGUCCCCAUCCAAAUGCACUAAUCGUCCAAAAAAAGGGGGUCCAUCCCCCGGAACCCCCGCCCCCUGGAUCCGCCACUGAGCGGGUACGGUAUAUAACUCAAUACAUUUUUUAUAGUUUAAAUUCAUCCAUCGAUAAUAUCCGUUUGUUGCUAAUUUUAUCACAAAAUAUACCUCAGAGGUUUUUUUUAUCGUUCGGCUGCUGUCCUGUUGACAUAUGUAAAAUAUCUCCAAUAUUAAAAGUCUCUGGAUCAUAGUGGGUGCCAUAUUACCUACUAGUAUUAUUUUUUUUCUAAAACGUGCUUUGUAUAUAGAAAUAAGAAGAUGAGGUAUGAGUGCCAAAUGAAACAUCUUUCCAACAAAGACAUAAUUUAGUAAAGUAAGCAGUCAAAUGCUGAAAAGUAAGCUAUAAAUGACCCAAAAAUUAUUUGUGUAAAACAAUCCAAACAAAAAAAAAAAACCAAAAAAAAAACCGGCCCAAUUAAAUAUAUAAAAGAACAAGAAAGCUAUCCCAUCAAAAAAAA